UUUUCGCAUGGUUUUAAUUGCUUAUGGCAUUUUGUGUACUUUGUAGACUUUGUCAGCGGAAGCAAGCCACGUUGCCUUCAGUUUAGUGUCGGAGAACCGCAGCCUUCUUUACAACGCAUUAAAAUGCACCGUCUCACUUUGUGAACGCCAGGUCUUCCUGAAUUGGUGCUGAGACAUUUAUGAGCAUUGUCAACAACCACAUCACUUCCUUCACAUCUGCCAUCUGCCUGAUGUUUGGCAGUUACUACUGCUUCAACAUACAUUACCUGGUGGAACUACAGUCCACACUUGAGUUCCUCCAACGGUGUUUCCUUUCAAUAAAUCCUGGAAGAAGAGUAAAAAAAGUGUUAUUGGUCAAUCCCACAGUCUUGACACUGAUCUCAUAUCUUGCCAACCAUGAGUGGACCUACCAGUGAUGUUGAGGGAUGAUGUGAUAAAAGGUACGUUUGAUAUGAUAUACACUGUAGAUAUUUUGUUGUUAAGGGUGUGUACCUGUAUUAAAUCUGUCCACUCAUUUUGCUCACUGCAAUCAUUUUAAAAAGAAACAAACUAAUUUUGUUCUCACCCUUUCUCUCUCUCUCUUUCUCUCUCUCUCUUCUCAUUUCGUUUCUUCUGAUCUACAGAGACACCAAAGUUGAGU